ACGCAAUGCUUGUACCACAUGGCGGCCAGUUCUAUUUACGCCGCUGGUGAGCAGUAGGUGAUCGCCGAGGGACUGAAUGCAGCCACAAUGCAUCGCAAGGACUCGCACUUUCAUGCGACACAGAAAUGCUAGCUCGGAAUCCCGAGUGCUUGCCGGUGGCGCAAGAAGUAUCGCGUUUCAAUGGCUGUGCACUGUUCAUUGGCCGUAAACCGCUAGCAUAACAUGUUUCUUCCGCGGCAGGGUGGAAAAAGCGCUGCCUUGAAGCCGGAGCUGUGCCGUCGAAGACUUUACCGGUGCGCCCGUUGGAUCGUCCGCGUACUGAGCGUCGCCAAAUCCGCAAGCAGCAGAGUGUGGCAGCAGACGUGCCAUUGGCGACGGUACAUCCCACCCCCAAGCCCCCUGCAGAUACUCUAGACGUCCAGGUACAAUCAUCUGAAUAUGAGAUUCAGCAGAGCUUGGGCACAUCCGCCUUCAGCAACCACCAAGAUGUUAACAGUGAAGAUGGCCUGGAAG